rnacentral:rRNA from 1 species
UGGGGAAUAUUUUNACAAUGGGCGAAAGCCUGAUCCAGCCAUGCCGCGUGUGUGAAGAAGGCCUUUUGGUUGUAAAGCACUUUAAGUGGGGAGGAAAAGCUUAUGGUUAAUACCCAUAAGCCCUGACGUUACCCACAGAAUAAGCACCGGCUAACUCUGUGCCAGCAGCCGCGGUAAUACAGAGGGUGCAAGCGUUAAUCGGAAUUACUGGGCGUAAAGCGCGCGUAGGUGGUUAUUUAAGUCAGAUGUGAAAGCCCCGGGCUUAACCUGGGAACUGCAUCUGAUACUGGAUAACUAGAGUAGGUGAGAGGGGAGUAGAAUUCCAGGUGUAGCGGCGAAAUGCGUAGAGAUCUGGAGGAAUACCGAUGGCGAAGGCAGCUCCCUGGCAUCAUACUGACACUGAGGUGCGAAAAGCGUGGGUAGCAAACAGGAUUANAUACCCUGNNNGUCCACGCCGUAAACNAUGUCUACCAGCCGUNGGGCUUUUUAAGACUUAGGGACGCAGUUACGCAUAAGUAAACCGCCUGGGGAGANNGGCCCANGGU